rnacentral:lncRNA from 1 species
UAUUUCAGGAACUCAGUGCAUGUUUCUAUAUGCUGUUAUUAUUUUCAUGUGCAUGAAACUAAUAACAACACAUACUGCAUGUCAUCAUCAUCAUCAUUGUUUAACGGCUGCUUUCCAUGGUGGCAUGGGUUGGAUGGUUUGACUGAGGUCUGGAGAGCCAGUAGCUGCACCAGGCUCUAAUAUGAUCUGGCUGUUCUGUCGAUUAGCAAUGUUUCUACAGCUGGAUGUCCUUCCUAAUGCCAACUACUCUGAGAGUAUAGUGAAUGCUGUUUACAUGCCACUGGCACGGGAACUAGUCAGGCGGGCCUGGCACCGAUCAUGUUCGGAUGGUGCUUUUUACAUGCCACCGGCACAGGAGCUAGUCAGGUGGACCUGACACCAAGUACAUCAUCAUCAUCAUUUAAUGUCUGUUUUCCAUGCUGGCAUGGGUUGAAUGGUUUAGAACCAGUCAGGCGGGCCUGACAUCGACCACGUUCAGAUGGUGCUUUUUACGUGCCACCGACAUGGGGUGGCAGUCAGGCAGCACUGGCAGUGACCGAUGCAUGAAUGCCAGUGCCACCUAAUUGGCAUUCAUGUGUGUGUAUAUACAAAUAUGUAUAUAUAUAUAUAUUUUUUUUUUGGCAUAUAUAGGCGCAGGAGUGGCUGUGUGGUAAGUAGCUUGCUUACCAACCACAUAGUUCCAGGUUCAGUCCCACUGUGUGGCACCUUGGGCAAGUGUUUUUUACUAUAGCCUCGGGCCAACCAAAGCCUUGUGAGUGGAUUUGAUAGACGGAAACUGAAAGAAGCCCGUUGUAUAUAUGUAUAUAUAUAUAUAUAUGUGCGUGUGUGUUUGUGUGUCUGUGUUUGUCCCCCUAGCAUUGCUUGACAACCGAUGCUGGUGUGUUUAUGACCCCGUCACUUAGCGGUUAGAAUAAGUACUGGGCUUACAAAGUCCCGGGGUUGAGUUGCUCAAUUAAAGGUGGUGCUCCAGCAUGGCAGCAGUCAAAUGACUGAAACAAGUAAAGAGUAUAUAUUGUUUUGUCUUUCACUAGUUUUAGUCAUUGGACUGCAGUCAUGCUGGGCACUGCCUUGAUGGGUGCUAGUCAAACAAAGAAACCCCAGGAUUUGUGUUUUUAAAACCCUGAUGCUUAUUUUAUCAGUUUUUUUUUGCUGAACUACUAAGUUAUGGGGACAUACAUACCCCAACACCAACUUUCAACAGUCGUGGGGGGACAAACACAGACACACACACAAACAGACUUUUGUAAGUUUCCGUCUACCAAACUCACUCACAAGGCUUUAAUUCAGCCUGGGGCUAUAGUAGAAGACCCUUGUCCAAGGUGGCAUGCAGUGGGAGUGAACCUAGAACCACGUAGCUGAGAAACAAACUUCUUACCGCGCAGUCUCACUUGCACCUACAUAUAUAAUGUACAACACUCAGUUUCUCUGCCUACCAAAUCCACUCUCAAAGCCUUAGUCAGCCCCAGGCUAUGAUAGAAGACACUUACUUGCCCAAGGUGCCAUGGAGUGGGAUUGAACUUAGAACCAUGUCAUUGGGAAGUAUAUUUCUUUUCCAUACAGGUUAUACCAUAGUUGUGUGCUUAUAAUUGAUUCUAUUAAAAUGUAUGUUGAAAUUGAUUUUGUUAACUCUAGGUCAGCCCUGAUCUAGUAGGCUUAUGAUCAAAGAAAUUCCCUCCAUGACCAUCCCAGCUUUUCACAUACAGUUUAUCUGAUACAUCCUUCCUUAUUAACUGCUAGUCUGCCUUGAUCCAGCUGACCCAUGAUCAGAGAUGUUCCAGUCAUGACCAUCCCAUCUUUCAUUUAGCUGUUGUGUCCUUCCUUGCUAUUUAACCCCAGGUCAGACCUAACCCUGUGGACCAAUGAUCAAGCGUUCCAAGCAUGACCAUCUUACCAUUUAUUCAGUUAUAGUACCUCAAGGCCAAGUUUAAUGUUUUCUGGGGGUUUUUUUUUAAUGGUAGAGUGUAAUUAAAAACAUAUUUAGCUCCUAUUUCUAGUAUAUCAAAUGAAUCUGUAAAGACUGUCAUUAGUUCACAAUUAGGUAUUAUUGAAUAAUCCUUUGGUUUAUGCUUUGUUAUUUAAGUAUAUAUGAUUCUAUAUAAAAUGAAAUGUGUGUGUAUAUCUGUAUAUAUGUCUUUAUGUAUAUAUAUAUGUGUGUGUUUAUAUAUUUAUUUUUGCACUAUAUAUGUAUAAAAUAGCCAUCCCUGUAUCAUACUCAAUGUAUAAAUGUAUAUACAGUGUCAGCAGUUAAGUUACUGAGGUAUUUGUCCUGACAUAACUACUCUUAUAGAUGUGUUGUGUAAAAAGCAAAAGAUUUCCAAGAGAAAAAAAAAUAGCACCCAUCCCAGCAGCAGCAACCAGCAAGAGCACUGGAUGCAUUUCAACAGUGCAUAUUCCCAACCAGUUACAUGCUUGGAUGAAAAUUUAAUCAUCUCCAAUAUAGAAAAAGACGAAUAAGAUAUUCACUGAUCUUGCAAAAAACUGUUUGGCUGAAUAAAAGUUU